GGAGGGUGCAAGCGUUGCUCGGAAUUAUUGGGCAUAAAGGGUAGGUAGGUGGUUUGACUAGUCUGGGGUGAAAGCCUUGAGCUCAACUCAAGAAGUGCCUCAGAAACGCUCAGACUUGAGUCCUGGAGAGGGUCGUGGAAUUCCCGGUGUAGCGGUGAAAUGCGUAGAGAUCGGGAGGAACACCAGAGGCGAAGGCGACGACCUAGAAAGGUACUGACACUCAACUACGAAAGCGUGGGGAGCAAACAGGAUUAGAUACCCUGGUAGUCCACGCUGUAAACGAUGGGUACUAGUUUUAGUGGGACUUGACCCCUGCUGAAACGAAGCAAAUGCAUUAAGUACCCCGCCUGAGGAAUACGGUCGCAAGACUA
rnacentral:rRNA from 1 species